AAGCAUAUGCUCGUCCUGUAUCACGGACGAGGCAGGUGCAUAUCAAUAAGCGGAGGAAAAGAAACCAACAGGGAUUGCCUUAGUAGCGGCGAGUGAAGCGGCAAAAGCUCAAAUUUGAAAUCUGGCACCUUCGGUGUCCGAGUUGUAAUUUGAAGAUUGUAACCUUGGGGUUGGCUCUUGUCUAUGUUUCUUGGAACAGGACGUCACAGAGGGUGAGAAUCCCGUGCGAUGAGAUGCCCAAUCCUAUGUAAGGUGCUUUCGAAGAGUCGAGUUGUUUGGGAAUGCAGCUCUAAGUGGGUGGUAAAUUCCAUCUAAAGCUAAAUAUUGGCGAGAGACCGAUAGCGAACAAGUACAGUGAUGGAAAGAUGAAAAGAACUUUGAAAAGAGAGUGAAAAAGUACGUGAAAUUGUUGAAAGGGAAGGGUUUGAGAUCAGACUCGAUAUUUUGUGAGCCUUGCCUUCGUGGCGGGGUGACCCGCAGCUUAUCGGGCCAGCAUCGGUUUGGGCGGUAGGAUAAUGGCGUAGGAAUGUGACUUUGCUUCGGUGAAGUGUUAUAGCCUGCGUUGAUGCUGCCUGCCUAGACCGAGGACUGCGAUUUUAUCAAGGAUGCUGGCAUAAUGAUCCCAAACCGCCCGUCUUGAAACACGGAACCAGGUGCAGGUGCAUAUCAGUAAGAGGGAGCAAAAGCCCCCUUUUUUGCACUGACCCGGUGCAAAUUUUUAAACCGGGG
rnacentral:rRNA from 1 species